UUCCCUACCUUGCUGCGGCAGAGAGCACCGCCACAUAUUCAGAGGCCAUUGGCCCGUGCGUUGGUUUGCAAGAGCUCUGGGGCUGUCCCGCCAGACAGAAGACAGAGCCCAAGCCACGGAAGGCAUCAGAGCUCGACCGACCAAGAGCAAAGAGAACCCAGAGGCCCGGGCCAGACCAUCCUGGGAGCGCCUCCCAGCCUGGUGCCACCGUCGCCAAACGCCGGUGCCUUGCGGAGCAGCCGCCGCCGCCCGGGCUGCAGAGGCCACACGGAUGCCCGAGCCACGCGGCCCGCGCGGGGGCAGCCGCCGCAGUCGCCAUCCCACACAAGCUCCGGACGCGCACGACUGCUGAUGAAGUGACUGAGAAGGAGGAGUGAGCAUCUUGCCUUUGCAGACAGGACAGCAUGGAGCAGCCAUUUACUGUGAACUCACUGAAAAAGUUAGCUGCUAUGCCUGACCAUACAGAUGUUUCUCUAAGUCCAGAGGAGCGGGUCCGUGCCCUAAGCAAGCUUGGUUGUA